GGUGGCUCAGUGGUAGAGUACUUGCCUUGCAUGCAUGAGGCCCUGGGUUCAAUUCCUCAGGACCA
rnacentral:tRNA from 1 species